UACGGGGGGGGUAAGCGUUGUUCGGAAUUACUGGGCGUAAAGGGCUCGUAGGCGGCCAACUAAGUCGGACGUGAAAUCCCUCAGCUUAACUGGGGAACUGCGUCCGAUACUGGAUGGCUUGGAUUUGGGAGAGGGAUGCGGAAUUCCAGGUGUAGCGGUGAAAUGCGUAGAUAUCUGGAGGAACACCGGUGGCGAAGGCGGCUUCUUGGCCUGUUCUUGACGCUGAGGCGCGAAAGCUAGGGGAGCAAACGGG
rnacentral:rRNA from 1 species